rnacentral:lncRNA from 1 species
AAAAAUAAAUUAUUUUUGUUAUAAGUUUUUACUUUUUACUGAUUAAACCUUCUUAAACUUCUUUCUUUUUGCAGUGGUGUCCUUGGUCUCUAUGAGUCAUUUUGAAUUGAAGCUGAUUGGAUUGAAAUUAGGCCAGCAUAGAGAACUUUUGGGCUGCACUUGGAAGGAGUAGGCUGAAAUAAAGUUGAAGCUGUGUGAAGAAGGAAUUCUGCUGCACUCAUAUGGAUUGGUCGUGGUUGAAGAUUGUUGAAAGGGUGUUGUUCUCUACACCUCCCCAAAUGGGACCUGUAUCUCCCCGUUAAUUUAAUUUAUUUCAAAAAUAUUCUACACCUUCCCGCUAUUUUUUUUAUUCCAAAAAUACCCUACACCUUCCCACUAUCCUUAACAAUCUUUCUCUUUCUCUCUCUAUAUUAAUGGAGCAUUUACAUGGCUCAUUAAUGGAGCAUUUACAUGACUUAAAUUUGAAUAUAUUUUCUUAAAUAAUUUUGAUUCAAUCUUAUUUUCGUUGUUGAAUAUAUU